rfam:Ornithorhynchus anatinus chromosome 1, whole genome shotgun sequence.
UCUCUCUCGGGUUUUGCACCUGGAGGGUUUCCAGUACUCUACCAAUCUCGGCUACGGGAGGGAGAGUCAAGCAGAGGCAUACCCAUUCCAUUUCUAGCUUGCCCAGUGGCUAGUGAGUGGAAGGCAAUCUGAUACAAGU